GUCGAGCGAGGACUUCGGUUCUAGCGGCGGACGGGUUAGUAACGCGUGGGAACGUACCCUUUUCUACGGAAUAGCCUCGGGAAACUGAGAGUAAUACCGUAUACGCCCUUAGGGGGAAAGAUUUAUCGGAGAAGGAUCGGCCCGCGUUAGAUUAGAUAGUUGGUGGGGUAAUGGCCUACCAAGUCUACGAUCUAUAGCUGGUUUGAGAGGAUGAUCAGCAACACUGGGACUGAGACACGGCCCAGACUCCUACGGGAGGCAGCAGUGGGGAAUCUUAGACAAUGGGCGCAAGCCUGAUCUAGCCAUGCCGCGUGAGUGAUGAAGGCCUUAGGGUCGUAAAGCUCUUUCGCCUGUGAAGAUAAUGACUGUAGCAGGUAAAGAAACCCCGGCUAACUCCGUGCCAGCAGCCGCGGUAAUACGGAGGGGGUUAGCGUUGUUCGGAAUUACUGGGCGUAAAGCGCGCGUAGGCGGACAUUUAAGUCAGAGGUGAAAUCCCAGAGCUCAACUCUGGAACGGCCUUCAAUACUUCCAGUCUAGAGUCCGUAAGGGGGUGGUGGAAUUCCGAGUGUAGAGGUGAAAUUCGUAGAUAUUUGGAGGAACACCAGUGGCGAAGGCGG
rnacentral:rRNA from 1 species